UGCUGGUCCUACUUUAUUUACUUUAGCAUAAUAUUUUGAAAUUUUUUGCAAUCAUGUUGUGUUGUUUUUACCUGUUGAGACUAGCCUGGAGCAUGUGACAUCAUAAAAUCUUCAAAACAAAACAAAAAGAAAAUGGCAUCACACUCAUUAUCUGAUCCAACAAGCUUAUGAUUUAUGACCCCUUCUUUGGAGUCCUUACUUUAAUACAAUACAACUGUUUACUCAUAAGUCAAUGAAAAUAUGAAGAAAGAAAGAACUAGGAAUGGCACAAGGGCAGGGCAGGAAGCGGGUUUUGCUGACCCUGACUCCCCAUACCCUGCUUCACACCCUGGUGGGGCACAAAUCUUUAACCCCAUGCCUGCCUCCAAUGGGGAAUGGGGAUCCCUGACCCCAUUGCUUGAAAAAGAAAAAAAAGAAAAUUGACAUUUUGCCAUCAAGAAGUUUUGUUGCCCUGCAGCAAGCUUGUUGAAAUAUCCAUCUAAAAAAAGUUUACAUCUUAGACCAAAAAAAAAAAAAAAAAAGGAAAAGAAAAAACAUCUGACUAUAAACAACUUAACAAUCUAUUUAUAUCUAUAUAUGUUUAAGUUUGAGUAAUUGGGUAUUAGAUUUGACGGUUGGGUUAUUAUUUGGGUCAGGGCAUAUAUAGAUAAAUAUAUAUUUAAUUACAUUUAUAAAAUAUGUAUUUAUAUAACGGGGAAGUUGGGGCAUGGUGUUAAAUCAUUUGUCUUAGAUUAGUUCAAAGGCUCAGGAGGAUAUUUGUCAGGGAUGUAUUCAAUAUUUCAUUAGUUAGUUUUCUGUUAGGUUGGUUAGUAUUGUAACGGUUUUAUUGGGUUGUUAUCUUGUAAUGCCCACCCCUUUUGUAUUAUAAAUAGGGGGUCGGGGGGUCUCAUUUGAGAGAAUUGGUUUUUCUAUCUUGAGCGAGAAAGAGAUCGAGAAUGAGCUGUGUGAGAGAAAAGUUGAUUGCUUUGUAAUCUCAAGAUUUUGUAUAGCUUGUGUGAUGCGGUCACCAAUCAAGACUCGGCCCAAGGUUGACCCAAUUAAAUCGGGAAUAGUAUCACCAAAAUAGUAGUGCCAUAAUGUUAUUUUAAUACUUCUUAAGUUUUAGAAUUCUACUUGAUUUAGGAUUCUAUUUUAUAUUUCUACUUGAUUUAGGAUUCUAUUUCAUGUUUCUACUUGAUUUAGGAUUCUACUUCAUGUUUGAUUAAAGUUUUAUUUUUAUUAGGAUUCUAGUUGACUUUUAUUUAGGAUUUAUUUCUAUUAGAAUUAUAGUUGGAUGGAUUUGGAUUAGCCAAACACUAUAAAUAUACCUAGGAUCUAGAGAUUGUAAUCAAGUUUUUAUUAAUCAAAUUUUAGCAACCUAUUUGGGUUUUCUUAGCAAAACAGUCUUGUUUUUGCGUCUUCUUGAAAGCCAAGCUUCGGCUAUUGAAGUUUGCUCUUUCAAGGGUUUAUUUUGGUGUGUUUUCUUCACACUCGCGCUACACGCUGCGUCAGGUGGUAUCAGAGCGGUUAAUCAACCAAUUAGAUGGCCAAUCUUGAAGGUAACAGUAGCAACCAACCUCGUGACGGUGAUCAGGGGUUGUCCGCAGUUUGGAGAGCAAUCGAAGAACAGCGGGAAGUAACUCGUACUAUCCAGCAGCGAUUGGAGCAACAUAGCAACCAAUUGGGCACCUUACUACGAGUUGAUGAUGACAGGAACCUGAAUAAUGGGGUGAAUCAAGCCGGAGCGGGAAGACCACCCAUUAAUCAUGUCCUUGUUAAUCCUAGAAGACCAGUGAUUGAAGAUAGCGAUGAAGAGAAUGAUUUUGGUCGAGCAAUAGCUAACCCUGGUGGUAGAGGGGUUAGGAGGAAUGCAUAUCAGUACAACCACUGGGGCAACAAUGAGUAUAAACUAAAAGUUGAUAUUCCUACCUUUAGUGGAGAUCUUGAUAUUGAGGGGUUCUUGGAUUGGAUCACUGAGGUUGACCGUUUUUUCGAAUACACGGAGAUCCCAGAUGAACGACAAGUAAGGUUAGUGGCUUACAGGUUGAAAGGCGGUGCAUCUGUUUGGUGGGAGCGAUUAAGAGAAACGAGAUUGAGGGAAGGCCGACUGCCAGUUAAGACAUGGAGACGAAUGAAGCAGCUGUUAAGAGGUAGAUUUUUGCCCCCUGACUAUGAACAAUAUAUGUUUGAAGCUUAUCAAAGAUGUACACAGGGAAUGAAGAGUGUGAAUGAAUAUACCUCUGAGUUUCUACGAUUGGCGGAGAGAAACCAAUUAUCAGAAAGUGACAAUCAACAAGCAGCUCGUUACUUGAAUGGAUUGAACCCAGCUAUUCAUGAUAAAAUUGGGGUUCAGAUGGUUCUGAGUGUGCAAGAAGCAAGGAACUUAGCUUUAAAGGCUGAGUUAAUGUUGAGUGAGAGAUCUCGUAAUGACAACUAUCAUCGGUAUAGUGGGAAUGAAAAUAAACAACCAGCUUUUGAUAAAGGCAAGUCAGAUCAAGGAGCGCAACCCUCCAAUCCACCCCAUACAGUCAACCCUAAUAAGGUUACAACGGGGGGAAACAUUCGAGGUACUAUUUCUAAUCUUCCAAAAUCCCCUAAUCCUUAUGCAAAGCCUAUUCUUUUAAAAUGUUUCAAGUGCAAUGAGGUUGGGCAUCGAUCUAGUGAUUGUCCAAGGAGGAAAACAGUUAACAUUGUAGAAAAGGAAGAGGAAGAUGUUGCUGAAGAGGAAGUAUAUUGCGGGCUUCAUGGGGAGGAUGACGAAGAAGAUUAUGGACAUGGGCAAUAUACCUGUGUAGUGAGGAAGUUAAUGCUAUCUCAAAAAAAUGAAGAUACUAUUCAACGGCAUAAGCUUUUUCGCAUGAGGUGUACGGUGAAAAGAAAAAUCUUUGAGUUGAUUAUUGAUAGUGGAAGUCAGGAGAACAUCAUAGAAAGAGACGUGGUGGCAAAGAUGCAGUUAACUCCUGAAAAACAUCCAAGCCCUUACAUGAUUGGAUGGAUCAAAGAAGUUGGUGGCAUAUAUGUGGAUGAACGUUACAGGGUGCCUUUCUUUAUUGGUAAGUACUCCGACGAAGUCUAUUGUGAUAUUGUUGAUAUGGAUGCUUGCCAUAUUUUAUUUGGGAGGCCUUGGCAAUUUGAUGUGGAUGCUACGCAUUCAGGUAGAAAGAACACAUAUCAGCUUGAGAAAGAAGGUGUGCGUUAUACUUUGUUACCCAUAGUGGAAAAGAAUCAAACCAAAGCUUCUAAAGUGGAGCUUGAUUUCGAAGAUUAUGUUGUCCCAGCAACCUCAACGUUUGCAAACUCAGGUCUGAUUUAUGUUGCUAACAUGAUAGAAACUCCAAGGUUAUUGACUCAUAUUGGGGUAUUUUCCAGUCCCGAUGGCUCAAGCAUUGCUUUGCAACCCAAUGAUGGUGGUGUUUCCUCUGAUUGACUUGCUACUGUAAAGGAGAUGGAGGUCAUGGCAGCAAAUCCUUCUACAGUUUAUUCAAGAUCUGACAUGGUUGAAUCGAAGGCAAUAAGAUCUACUAGAUUAGAGAAGCACUCAAGAUGGAAGGUUCAACGUCCUCAAUCUAACAGUAAUAAUGCAAUGGAGGCAGAAGGCAAUAAACAUGGCGAUGAUUGGACCCAUGCCAAUGCUGAUAUGGCUAAGAAGGGGAGGAAUGUCUUUGCUCAUGUUCCCUUAGUAGAAAAGUUCAAGCGGUUCAGGAAGAUGUCAAGCAAAAGUUGCACAAAUAAGAAAUAUAAGGCGACAACUGACAAGCAUAGGAAGCAUAAGGUAUUUGAGGUUGGAGAUGAAGUCAUGAUAUUCUUGAAGAAGGAACAAAUUCCAGCAAGAAAGCAGAACAAGUUCAAGAAGUAUGGUCCUUACAAGAUUCCAAAGAAGACCAAUGACAAUGCUUAUGUUGUGGAUUUUCCUAAUCAUAUUGGUAUUUCUAAACAUUCAAAGUGGCUAAUCUCUUUUCGUACUUAUCGGAUGUGGAUUUGUCCAAACAGGAUCAAAAUUCGAGGUCGAAUUUUUUCUCAAGUGAAGGUGAAUGAUGCGGUCACCAAUCAAGACUCGGCCCAAGGCUGACCCAAUUAAAUCGGGAAUAGUAUCACCAAAAUAAUAGUGCCAUAAUGUUAUUUUAAUACUUCUUAAGUUUUAGAAUUCUACUUGAUUUAGGAUUCUAUUUUAUAUUUCUACUUGAUUUAGGAUUCUAUUUCAUGUUUCUACUUGAUUUAUGAUUCUACUUCAUGUUUGAUUAGAGUUUUAUUUUUAUUAGGAUUCUAGUUGACUUUUAUUUAGGAUUUAUUUCUAUUAGAAUUCUAGUUGGAUUUUGUUUUCCAAAUAUUAGAUGUAUUUGGAUUAGCCAAACACUAUAAAUAUACCUAGGAUCUAGAGAUUGUAAUCAAGUUUUUAUUAAUCAAAUUUUAGCAACCUAUUUGGGUUUUCUUAGCAAAACAGUCUUGUUUUUGCGUCUUCUUGAAAGCCAAGCUUCGGCUAUUGAAGUUUGCUCUUUCAAGAGUUUAUUUUGGUGUGUUUUCUUCACACUCGCGCUACACGCUGCGUCACUGUGUGUGUAUAGGGUUGUGAGAGAUUUGAGAGCAAUGCGUGUAAUCGUCUAUUGUGAUUUCAAGAUAGUGGAGAAAGGCCAAAGGCAGUCUAGACGUAGGUUUUUCAAUAUAAGAUUUGAACCAGGAUAAAAUCCCGGCUUCAUAUGCGUGUGUUCAUAUGUUUUUUAUUUGUUUCUAUAUUAUGUUCCACUCUUGAGUGUGUGGAGAGUUUCCUAUUGUUCGUGAGGAUUGAGGGUUUGAUUGUGUGAGGCGGAAGAUUGGGAUUACAAUUGGUAUCAGAGUCAGUGUCGCCACCUUUCAAGAAAUCAAGAAACUCGCGAAAAGAGAAUUGAUAAGGGCAGUUCAUCAUGGCUUCUUCUUCAUCCAUCUCAAGGCAUGACAUUGAGAAGUUUGAUGGGCAAAACGACUUUGCCCUCUAGAAGAUGAAGAUGAGUGCUCUCCUCGGCAAUCUUGGCCUUGAGGAGGCACUAGAAGGAGAAAUGAAAAUGCCCAAAUCCUAUACGGAAGAACAAAAGAAGGAUAUCCUCAAGAAGGCUCACAACACGCUGAUUCUAAGCCUCGGUGAUACGGUUUUAAGGGAGGUGUCCAAAAUGAAGACAAGAGCGGAGAUUUGGCUCAAGUUGGAGAGUCUUUACAUGACAAAGUCCCUUUCCAACCAUCUCUACCUAAAGGCUAGGUUCUUUACUUUUAAAAUACAUGAUAAUCAAAGACUUCAAGAUCACAUAGAUGAGUUUAAUAAACUCUGUUUAGAUCUUGAAAACAUAGAUGUGAAGUACAAUGAUGAGGACAAGGCUUUAGUCUUGCUCCAUUCUUUACCUAGGUCUUAUGCGACUUUUGUUGAUAUCUUGAAACACGGUAGAGACACCUUAACACUAGAGGAUGUGAUAGGUGCCCUAAACUCUAAGGAUUUAAGGAGAAAGGUGGAGGGAAAAUCCUCCAUUGGGGAUGUCCUGACUGUAAGAUCUAGAAGCCUUAAGAGAGACCCUAAAAGUAAGGGAAAAUCUAGGUCAAAGUCUAGGACAUGAAAGAACCCUAUAAGAUGUCACUGUUGUCAUGAAGAAGGCCACAUUAAGAGAAACUGCUCCAAGAAAAAGAAGGAUUUUCUUGAUAAGGAGAAUGCUGAUGGGGGUGUAAAUGUGUGUGAAUUUGGUUAUGACAGUUUUGAUGCAUUGGUGGUAUCAGAAAGAGUCGAGUCUAAUGAUUGGCUUAUAGACUCUAGCUGCUCUUAUCACAUAACCCCUAAGAAGCAUUGGCUACUUAAUUAUUAAGAAAUAAAUGGGGGAAAGGUCGUGCUAGGCAAUGACCAUGAGUGUAAAGUAUUAGGGAUUGGUUAUGUAAGGUUGAAAAUGCAUGAUAGAUCAUAUAGAACCCUCUCUGCAGAGAAAUUAUGUUUCUCUUGGUAAGUUGGAUAGGAAUGGCAUUAAAUUUAAGGGCGAGGGUGCAAUAUUGAAAAUAUCAAAGGGAUCCCUAGUAUGCAUGAAGAUAGUGCCGCAGAAUGGCAUAUACCUUCUGCAAGCAACUAUCUUGAGUGGUGAAGCUGCAGUGGCAAGCAACAAUGUCCAAAAGCAGGUAAGGUUGUGGCAUCUACGGAUGUCACACAUAAGUGAGCAAGGGUGCAAGGAACUUGCCAAACAAGGUAUUUUAGGGCAUGGUCAAAUUAUUGGACUAAGUAAAUGUGAGUCUUGUAUCUAUGGCAAAGCUGCAAAAGUAAAAUUUAGCAAGAAAACCAUUCAUUCAUCUAAAUCACCCCUAGAUUAUAUUCACUCAGAUUUGUGGGGGCCAGCUCAAACCCUAACCCAUGGUGGCUCUCGGUAUUUUCUAUCAAUCAUUGAUGACUACUCUAGAAUGUUAUGGGUUUAUGUCUUAAAAACAAAGGAUCAUGCCUUUGAAGCUUUUAGGACAUGGAAAAAUAUGGUAGAGAACCAAAAGGGCAGGUGUAUCAAAACUAUAAAUGGGCUUGAAUUCUGUAAUAGGGAGUUCAACCAAAUGUGUAAGGAUAGUGGGAUUGUUAGACAUUUGAUUGCCCCGGGUAACCUUAAACAAAAUGGGUUGGCCCAAAAGAAUGAAUAGGAUCCUAUUGGAAAGGGUAAGAUGCAUGCUUUUUCAUUCAAAUAUGCCCAAGUCAUUCUGGGGAGAGACAGUUUCAACAGUAGUCCAUGUGAUAAAUAGGUCACCAUCAACUGUUAUUGAUUUUCAAACUCUCUAUGAAAGAUGGACAGGGCAUAAGCCAAGUCUAAGCCACCUUAGAGUAUUUGGAUGCUUAGCCUAUACUCAUGUGAAGCAAGGCAAGCUGGAACCUAGGGCCAAGAAAUGCUUAUUCAUAGGAUACCCCACUUGUGUAAAAUGCUACAAGUUAUGAAACCUUGAACUAGAAGGGCUGAGAACAAUAGUCACAAGAGAGGUGACGUUUGAUGAAGGUUCUACCAUGAAAACAAGAAAUAAGGAAACCCAGCCAAACUUAGGGAAAAAUGCUAAGUCCAUUGAUGUGGAAAUUAAAGGAGAAGUGUCUGAAAACACCCAAGAAGUAUCUGAAAAUGAUUAGGAUCUGGAUGAUCAGGUCUAGGAAGAGAAUCAGGAUUAGGACUUAACUCAAUAUGAGGAGAGUGAAGAGGGUAGUGAUGUAGACUCUAGCCUAAGAGAUCAGCUAGAUGCAUCUAGGUACAAUGUGGCUAGGGACAGGCAACAGAGGAGCUGAAGGCCUCCUUAGUGAUAUGGUUUCUUAGACCUGGUGGCAUAUGCCCUAAUAAGUGCAUCAGAAAGUGUAGGAGAUGAACCUCUCACCUAUGAAGAGGCAGUGGCCUCUAAAGAAUCAGGAAAAUGGAUAGAAGUCAUGACGUCAGAAAUUGCAUCCUUAAGAAAAAACCAGACUUGGGAUAUGGUUGAUAAGCCAAAAGGACAACGUGUAGUGGGCUGUAAAUGGCUUUACAAAAUAAGGGAAGGUGCUGGAGAUAACCCUAAACCUAGGUAUAAGGCUAGGUUGGUUACUAAGGGCUUUACCCAAGUUCAAGGAAUAGAUUUCAAUGAGGUUUUCUCACCUGUUGUGAGACAUAUCUCAAUCAGAGUGCUGUUGGCCAUCAUUGCUCAUUUAAACCUAAAAUUGGAGCAAAUGGAUGUAACAACAGCUUUCCUUCAUGAAGACUUAGAUGAGAAAUUUCUAAUGGAUCAACCUAAAGGCUUUGAGUCUAGAGGAGAGGUGGAGAAGGUGUGUUUGCUUAAGAAAUCUUUUUAUGGGCUUAAGCAGCCUCCAAGACAAUGAUAUGGGAAAUUUGAUAUUGUUAUGUGAAACAAGGGUAUCUUAGAAGUUCCUAUGACUGUUGUGUUUACUUUAAACAUAUCUCACCUAACAUCUCAAUUUACUUGCUUCUCUAUGUGGAUGACAUGCUCAUAGCAAGUCAAUCUGAGCAAAAGAUUCAACAACUAAAGUUGAGACUAAAAUCUGAAUUUGUGAUGAAGGAACUAGGUGAAGCAAAGAAAAUUCUACGGAUAAAAAUCUCUAGAAGCAAACAACAAAGGAAAAUUUACCUAUCUCAAAAAUCCUAUCUAGAAAAGCUGAUAUCUAGGUUUGGAAUGGUAAAUUCUAAGGUAGUGAAUGUGCCAUUUGCCUCUCAUUUUAAGUUGUCCUCGGAUCAAUCUCCCAAGGAUGAAGAGAGUAUGAAGGAAAUGGAUAAUAUACCAUUCUUGAGUGUUGUGGGAAGCUUAAUGUAUAAUAUGGUGUGCACUCGGCCUGACUUAGCUCAUGCUAUGAGUGUUGUGAGUCGGUUUAUGGCAAACCUAGGUAAAACCCACUAGAAUGCUAUAAAAUGGAUAUUUAGGUAUCUAAAGGGCUCAUAUAAUGCUGUUUUGUCUUAUGGUAGAGCAAACAUAGGAGAACUAGCUAGCAUCAUAGGAUUCUCGGAUGCAGACUAUGCUGUUGAUUUAGACAAGAGGAGAUCCACAACCAGGUUUGUAUUUAAGCUAUGGAACUCAACAAUUAGUUGGAAAUCAAGCCUCCAACAUGUGGUGGCUUUAUCUACAACUGACUACAACUGAAGUUGAAUACAUAGCUGUAUCGAAAACUAUAAAGAAGCUAUGUGGCUUAAGGGUCUAGUUAGCUAGCUCCUAGGGUCAGAUGUGAAAGCCACUUUGAUGUGUGACAAUCAAAGUGCCAUACAUUUGUCAAAGAACUAGGCUCACCAUGAGAGGACUAAGCAUACAGACGUUAGGCACCACUUCAUUAGAGAAAUAAUUGAAAAACAAGAUGUUAUAUUAACCAAAGUUUCAGGUGAAGAGAAUGCGGUGACAUAUUUACUAAAGCUGUACCUAUUUCAAAGCUAAAGCAUUGCAUGAAGAUACUGCAGGUUAUUCCAGAUGCUGAGUAAAGAAGAGCGUGGCAAUAUGGGAGGGUGCAGGUAGAAGUCCAGAAGAAGUCUAAUCUAACUCAAAUGGGUGGAGAAUUUGUUAAAUCAUUUGUCUUAGAUUAGUUAAAAGGCUCGGGAGGAUAUUUGUUAGGGAUGUAUUUGAUAUUUCUUUAGUUAGUUUUCUGUUAGGUUGGUUAGUAUUGUAACAAUUUUAUUGGGUUGUUAUCUUGUAAUGUCCGCCCCUUAUGUAUUAUAAAUAGGGGGUCGGGGGGUCUCAUUUGAGAGAAUUGGUUUUUCUAUCUUGAGCGAGAAAGAGAUCGAGAAUGUGCUCUAUGUGAGAGAAAAGUAGAUUGCUUUGUAAUCUCAAGAUUCUGUAUAGUUUGUUUGUGUAUAGGAUUGUGAGAGAUCAGAGAGUAGUGUGUGUAAUCGUCUGUUGUGAUUUCAAGAUAGUGGAGAACGGCCAAAGGCAGUUUGGACGUAGGUUCUUCAUUAGAAGAACUGAACCAGGAUAAAAUCCCAGCUUUUCAGUGUAAGUGAAAUAGAGGCUCUUUACGAGCUAUUUAAGAAGAUUAGCAGUGCCGUAAUUGAUGACGGAUUGAUCAACAAGGAAGAGUUUCAGUUGGCACUAUUUAAGACAAACAAAAAAGAGAGCCUGUUUGCUGAUCGG